rnacentral:lncRNA from 1 species
CGAAAACAUCUUAAAAUAUCUUUCAUAUUAAAAUCAUAGAAAACUUCAAGUCUCAAUAUAUGCCAUCCUUAGACUUAAAGAAAUAUUGGGACACGGCCAAUAGAAUCGAAAUAUAACAAUCUAAUAUAUAUUACAAUACAAUGAAAUAAAGAAGUCUAAAUACUAUGAUGCCCUCGAGUAAAGUGAGGAAACACUUCAACUAUGCUUGAACGAUAACUAGUUUCCAAGCUUUGCUUCAAGAUCCUUCUCAACUUCCACCUAAACCUUUAGAUAUAACAAAAUGUUGGUAAUUAGUACAAACACAUGUACUGAGUAUGACUUAAUGCAUAAAAUCAUGGGAAACAAAUAUUUAUGAGAAACGUUCUCUUUUUUAUUAAAACUUCAUAGUAUAAGCAUAAAAAUCACAUUUAAACACCAAACAACACAAUUAGUAGACAUUACAAUUUAUACAUAAUGUCCAUGCAUGUUACAGUGAAGCUUAUAGUGACUUCACUAUAAAUUCAUCCAAUAUUCACAUAUCACACUAUAGCAUCAAAGUAUAUCCAAAACACAUAAAUAUGAGAUCCUCUUACCAAAGGUAAUUCUAUUAUUCACUUGAAUGAGCUAUGAAGCGACCGCCCAUAAAAUUCCUUCAUACACACCUAAGAGAUCCUUUAGAGUAGCUAGGAUAAGAUCAUUAUCACUUCAUACAAUAACAUAUAUAAUAUUAAAUUCUCCUCCCAAAGGUUAUCAAAAGACUUACUAAAUUAACUCAACAAGAGAACGCACAUACACCUUCUCCAAUAUUACCUAUAUAAUCCUUAAGACUACCUAAGUUUAGAUCAAGUAUAAUGUAUCAAAAACUUUCCUAUCUAGAGUUAUUGUUAACACUUCCCUAGGUAAUACAUGAAGUGACCAUUCAUAUUCCCCCUUCACACCUUAACUAGGCAACCUUUAAACUACUCUAUAUAAGAACUAAUUCAUUUACAUGCUUUCUAACUUAAGUCAUUAUCUUCAUUAGUUCACUUAAGAGAGAUUCAUCACACAAGGACAUUCAAAUAAUGCUCUUGGAGAAGAACUAGGAACUCACUCACUAACAUCGUAAAAGUCUAAUCAUGCAAUGUCUAGAUAGCAUCUCAUACCACCACCUAAACAUCAUAGAACUACUCCAACACUAGUGUGUAUCCAAUAUGAUGAGAAUAGGCAAUAACUGACAUAGACUAUGGUAGCUAAUCAUGGAAUCCCAAGUCAACCCUAAUACGGUAAAGGGUAGAACUUCGACAGAUCUCAUGUAGGCACAUGGUUAAGGAAUAUGAAGGGUUUCUUUGUACUCUAGCCUCAUCCUUAACUAGCUACUUUCCAAAUAAUACUUACUCGGUGCUAACCUUUGUUCUCAUGGAGAAUUUCAAUAAAGGAGUACAUAAAGAGGUUCCAUAUCAAGUUCAUAACCCAAUCACAACACCUUACCGAAGAGGUCCCCUAGGGUUUCCUUACAAUGGUCAAGAGGAUAGCUGCAUGACAUUCCAAAGGAUGAUUUCAUGUUUCUCCUAAAAAUCAAUCUUAAGUCCACCAUUCACACAAGAAGGAUAUUGUUACGGCUUUUGACUUCGAGGAUAUAAUAACCUUAAAUCUAAGAUGAAGGCUCCACAUAAGGACUUUCUUUUCAAUGUUCAAGGUCAAAUUUCAAUCACACAUACAAGACUAAGAAUAGUUAGCAUACUAAUCCUAGAACAUAUAUUAACAGUAUACAUGUAUCAAAUAAGGGAAACAAGUCUACGAAAAUGAGACACACACUUACUUCACAUAUAACAUAUCAUUCUAGAAGAACAUAGGCAUAACAAACAUCAUAUAUAGGUCACCCUAUUCAGUAACAUAAUAUCAUCAAUAUAAAUAUCAUAAGACUCAUAUAACAAAAUAGGAAGAAUCAUGCAUCAACUCUAAAACUACACACAUAAGGACAUAGUCAUUGUCUAAAAUUAUCACCUAAUGUUAAUAGAAGGAACACAUACUUUCACGUUGGAUAUAAUCAUACAUCACAUAAAUCACUACACAAAUCAUCAUAAUAUAUCAAGUAAUGCCGACAAGGUCGUGACCUUCAAAAUUCAUAAAGUAAAACAAGCAAGGCCACAUAAUUCCCAAGUAAAGCAUAUAGAUUCGCCACCAUAAGUAAUACUAAUCCAAACAUAAUUCAAGACCUAAUUUGCAUAAAAUAAAGAAAAUGAGAGCAGCGUACCACCAAUCCACUAUCACCUAUUCAAUCCAUAGCAAAAUCAUCCAACACAAUACUCAAUGGCCCUUACCCAUGACCAUGAUCACCAAUUCAAUCCAAUACUUACAAUAGACAAUGAAUCAAAGAUAAUUCAACAUAGACUUAUGAAUUUAGGGAAUCAUAUUACAAUUGUAACAUGAUUCUAUCAUAAUUCAAUAGCCUUAAUAAAACUACAUGAGAAUUAAUAGAAUUAAGAAAUAAUCAAGUCCCCCACCAAUGAGCCAAAAACUAGGGUUCAUGAAUUAAAUGGGUUCAUAGAGUAAUUAGUUUUAAACCAUCAAAUUAACAUCAAUUCAAUCAAUUUAUUAUGAUUCAAAACGUUUUAUGCAAGAACCCAUGGGUACAUAUCAAAAUUGGACAAGUUCAUCUUUGAAAGACUUUAGAAAUCACUUUGAAGUUCUACUCCUUAUAGAAAAUAGAUUCAGUAUGAAGGAUCAUAACAUUAUUGAUGCUAGACCACGAAUUUGAUAAAUAAUCUAUGAAUAAUCACCAAAGAAAUCUUCAAUCCAAGAUCUAUCUUAAGUUUUGGCUCCAAUGGAGUUCUAUAGAAUUUGAGUUUUGAUUUUGCAAAGUGAAUUCAUAUAGGUGUUUACGACAUAUAAAAUUUGUAUAAUACCCAAAUAUCUUUAGGAAACCUCCCUUUUAAUAAUUUGUACGUGGGGUUAACUUACCAAUUCAAGCCUUCACUUAACUGUGAAGCUCCAAAAUUGCAGACGCAAACGACGCCUGCCUCACCUACGGAACGUCCUUCUUGUCCACGGUUUGGGUCUGAGUCUGGUACAAAGGGAGGACAACCUCCGACGCCUAAUUUUUAAACUACUCCCCUCACUUACGUGGCGUUGACCAGCCUACUUUGCGUCGUCUCCCUUCAGUAGGUUGGGCUGGUUUGACAACGUUUUGCUCAAAUGAUGGGUCCUUCCUCGAGGACCCUUGGUUGAUGCUUGGGGACUUUUUCUUCGACGUUUCAAACCCAAAUAUGUUUGUAUAUGAGUUUAGGAACUCUCACAUCAAUUUCAUAAAAAACGAACAUGUAAAACUCAAUGAAACAUACUAACACACACAAGGUUGUUUCAAGGCAAACCUUUCGAACGCCAUGGACGUUCUUGGAUGUUUGACCGCCAAAUAUGAAACUUUAACCACUGCCUCCUAACCUCAUUUUAACCAAUUUUAUGACUUCAAAACAUUUAGAAACAAAUGUCAGGAUCUAGUUCCACCUAAGUCGUCAUAGAGGUAUUACAAUCUCCCCCACUAGGACAACAUUCGUCCUCGAAUGACACUUGUUUCUUUUGAAAAACUUUCAAGAGACAAGACACUAAUGACUAUCAUAACAUAGCCAUACCACACCAUUCACAAUAUAAAAUUAGAAAGAACACCAACUUCACAUAAUCAAGAGAUUCACAACACAACAAGAAGCUGGAAACUAAUCUACAACUCAUUAUGCAAUAAGAGUCAUAUCCUUCAUGUCAAAUAUCAAGAACUCUUUUUAUAUUAAUUAUCAUGCUAAUAUAAAUCAUUUAUAUACGCAUUACAAAAAUUUUCAACCAAAUAAAUUUAGUCAAUUUCCCAAUAAUUUUACAGAAAGUUGCCAUGCAUUACAAUGAACAUUCUUCAAAAUUCCAAAAAUGCAAGUUUUAAGCCAUUAAUGUUGACAGCAUGACAAUACGAAGACAAAACCAUAUAAAAUCAUUUUAAAACAUAAUCAUAACUUCAUAAAAUAAACAAAUCAAGGAAUCAAUGAAAUUUAAUUUCAAGAAGACUUUAAAACAUAAUGCAACAAUGUAUUAUAAGAAAUGAGACAAUCACUCAAAACUCCACUAAUCACCAUACUCCCCCACAUAGAAGGAACUCAUCACAACUAAAAGAAGAAGCUAUGACUUAUGAAUAUCAUCUUCAUCAUCUUUCUUUGAUCCUCUAGACCGGAAUGCAUAGAAGCAAUUCUUCCUUGGACCAUCAUCACUCGAAACACUUAGAGGAACUUGUUUAGCUUCCCUUCCUCUAGCCGCAAUAGUAGGACAAUCUAUCACCUUUUGUCCAUCCUUAACACAACCAAAGCAAUUUCAUGUACUAAUUAGACAUUUCCCUUAGUGUUUCUUCCCACAAGUUGCACAAGUAGGCUUACCACCUUGAGAACCACUUACCUUCUCAAGUUUGACCUUAGGAUCUCAAGGUUCAUCUUGAGUUUGAGCCCUCUUCUUGAACCAAGGUUGGUUUUGAUCACUUGGUCCACUCCUAUUCAAGUUUAUAGAAUUCCUACUAAUCUUUGAUUCCUCUAUGGAUUGAGCAUAUACCAUGAGUCUAUAAAAGUUCAUGUCACCCUGGAGCAUGGUUGUAUGAAAUUCUUCUUUCACAAGGAUGACAACAUCGGUCAGAAAGCUACUCAUCUCAUCCCUAGGGUGAGACACCAAGUAUUGAUCAUACCUAAAUAACCUAGUGAACUUCAAGUAACACUCGUCAAAACUCAUAUUGUCUUGCUUGAGAUUAAUGAACUCUUAAACCUUGACCUACCUCAUAUCAUGGGGAAAUUACUUUCCUAAGAAAGCCUCCUUAAAAUCUUCCUACUAUAUAGGACCCGACUCAACCGGCCUAUUAUCUUUCCAUUGACUGUACCACACUUGAGAAACCUCCCUCAAUUGGAACGAAGCUAACUCCGCCUUCUCUCUAGAAGUCUUCCCAUGAUAAUCAACAUCUUAAACACAUCAUUCAGAUACUCUUAGGGAUCCUCUCCCAGCUUAGAGACAAGAAAUGUAUGAGGAUUCAUCCUCACAAAAUCUCUCAAACUAGUUGUCAUGGUGCUCUCCACAACAUUCACUCUAUGUUCAAUACCCCUAUUAACAUGGGUAGUCAUGGAUCAGGCAAAAGUAAGUAAAGCAUCUCUAAUUUCCUUAUUAGUCAUUUACGGGGAAACAACCAUAACUUCAUUACCUUGACCUCUAAUAGGGAUUUGAACACCUUGAGCACCUUGAGCCCCUUGAGUACCUUGAAGAACUUGCUUAACUUGAGGAGGAACUUCCUCAUUCACCCUUCCCUCUUCCAACCUUCUAGAGGCCAUCCUUUUAGUAUUCAUCUCCUAUAAACACAAAAGAAAAUAUUAGGAAUAGACACUUACAACCUCAACUAUAUAGGAACGACACAAGAUUUAUCAAGAAAGUGAAACUCUAUCAUCCUAUAACCUCUCGCCCAUAGAUGUGUCGUGAAUCACAGUGAUGGCCAAUACUCUACUAAACGUGACAUUAUACAAUAACAUAUAUACAAUAUGACAUUCUCCUCCCAAAGGUUAUCAAAAGACUUACAGAAGUAACUCAACAAGAGAACGCCCAUACACCUUCACCAAUAUUACCUAUAUAAACCUUAAGACUACCUAUGUUUAGAUCAAGUCUAAUGUAUCCACAAUAUUCCUAUCUAGAUUCAUUAUUAAGACUUCCCUAGGUAAGACAUGAAGUGACCAUUGAUAUGCCCCCUUCACACCUUAACUAGGAAAACUUUAUACUACUCUAGAUAAGAACUUAUUCAUUUACAUACUUUCUAACUUAAGUCAUUAUCGUUAUAAGUUCACUUAAGAGAUAUUCAUCACACAAGGACAUUCAAAUAAUGGUCUUGGAGAAUACCUAGGGGACUCACUAACAUCUUAAAAGUGUAAUUGUGUAAUGUCUAGAUAUCGUCCCAUACCACCACCUAAACUUCAUAGUACUAAUCAAACACUAAUGGGUAUCCCAUAUGAUGACAAUAGGCAAUAACUGAUAUAGACCAUGGUAGCUAAGCAUGGAAUCCGUAGUUAACCCUACUUAGAUAAAGGGUAGAACUUGGACAGACCCCUUCUAGGCACAUGGUUAAGGAAUAUGAUUGAUUUCAUUGUACUCUAGCCUCAUCCUUAACUAGAGCUACUUCCCAAACCAUAGUCACUUGGUGCUAGCCUUUUUUCUCAUGGAAUAUUUCAACAAAGGAGUACAUGAAAAGGUUCCAUAUAAAGUUCAUAACCCAAUCACAACACCUUACCAAAGAAGUCCCCUAGGGUUGCCUUACAAUGUCAAGAGGAUAGCUCAAUGACAUAGCUAAGGAUAAUUUCAUUCCGUUCAAGCCAAUCAACCUUAAGCCCACCAUUCACACAAGAACGAUACCACUACGACUUUCAACUUCAAGUAUAUCAUAACCUUACAUCUAGGAUGAAGGCUCCACAUAAAGGACGUUCGUAGCAAUGUUCAAGGUCAUAUGUCAAUCACACAUACACGACAAAGAAUGUUUAUCAUACUAAUUCAAGAACGCAUAUUAACAUUAUACAUGUAUAAAAUAAGGGAAACAAGUCUACCAAAAUGAGACACACACAUAUUUCGCAUAUAGCAUAUCAUUGUAGAAGCACAUAGGCAUAACCAACAACAUCUAUACGUCACCCUAUUCACUACUUUAAUAUCAUCUAUAUAACUAUCAUGAGACUCACAUAACCAAAUAGUAAGAAUCGUGCAUCAAUUCUAAGAAUACACACAUAAGGACAUAGUCAUUGUCUAACAUGAUCACCUAAUGUUGAUAGAAGGAACACAUACUUUCAGAGUACUCACAAGUAGAUGGAUAUGAUCAUACUUCACAUAAGUCACUACACAAAUCAUCAUCAUAUAUCAAAUAAUUCUGACAAGGACAUGAUCAUCAUAAUUCAUAAAGUAACGUCUAUGAGGCCACAAAGUUCACAAGUAAAGCACAGUGGACCAUUAAAAUCACAACAUAAUUCAAGACCUAAUUUACAUAAAAUAAAGAGAAUGAGGGCAGUGCCCACCAAUACACUCUCACCACUUCAAUUCAUAGCUAAAUCAUCCAACACAAUACUCAAAGGCCCUUACCCAUGGCCAUGAUCACCAAUUCAAUAAAAUACUUACAAUAGACAAUUAAUCAAAGAUAAAAAAAAAUUUACAUUUAUGAAUUUAGGGCAGAAUAUUAACAAUUCUAACAUGAUUCUAUAAUAAUUCAAUAGGCUAAUCAAACUACAUAAGGAUUCAAUAGCAUUAAGACAUAAUCAAAUCACCUACAGAGUAGUAAAAAAACUAGGGUUUAUGAAUUACAUAGGUUCAUAGAGUAAUUAGGUUAAAACCAUCAAAUUAGCAUCAAUUCAAUCAAUCUAUUAUGAUUCGAAAUAUUUUAUGCAAGAACCCAUGGAUAUAUAUUAAAAUUGGAAAGUUCAUCUUUGAAUGACUAUAGAAAUCACUUUGAAGUUUGACUCCUUGAAGAAAAGAAAUUCAAGGAUGAAGCACCUAGAUGAAAGACUAUAGAAAUCACUUUGAAGUUUGACUCCUUGAAGAGAAGAGAUUUAAGGAUGAAGGACCAUACCUUGAUUGAGGAUAGACCACGAGUUUAAUUAAGAAUUGAUGAAUAUUUACCAUAGAAAGCUUCAAUCCAAACUCUAUCUUGAGUUUUGGCUCCAAUGGAGUUCUAGAGAAUUUGUUAGAGAAUUUGGGUUUUGAUUUUGCGAAGUGAAUCCAUCUAGGUGUUUAAGACAUAUAAAAAUAUUUAUAAUACCCAAAAUAUCCUUAGGAGGUAUCCAUUUUAGAUAUUUGCAUGUGGGGUGAAUAUACCAAUUCACCCUUUCACUUAACAAUCAAGCAGCGAAAUUGGAGACUCAAACGUCGCCUGCCUCGCCUACGGACUAUUAUCCAACCAACGGACCCUCCUGUUGGUCCACCGUUUCGAUUAGAGGCUGUUCCAAAGGGAGGAAAACCUCCCACAUUUAAGUGCCAACCUACUCCCCUCACCUACGAGGUGUCGAUUGCCUUUCGUAGGCUGUGCUGCUUUAACAGCUUUUGGCUUAAAUGAUGGGUACUUUCUCAAGGACCCGUGGUUGGUCCUUGGGGACUUUUGCAUGGACGUUUCCAACCCGAAUAUGUUCAUAUACGAUUUAGAACCUAUCACAUAAAUUUAAUCCAUGAGGAACACGUAAAACUCAACGUAACAUACUAAGACACACAAGGUCGUUUCAAGGCAAACCUUUCAAACGUCAUCGAUGUUCUUGGACGUUUGAUCUCCAAACUUCAUGAAACUUGAACCACUACCUCCUAAAAUCAUCUUAACCCUUUUUAGGACUUCAAAACAUUAUGACACAUGCGUUAGAGUCUAGUUCCAUCUAAGUAGUUUUAGAGGUAUUACAAUAUAUAACCUUUGUUGUAAAAAAUCACACAAUUAUAUGCAUGUGCCCAAGCAUAAAGGUGAUGUGUAACAACAUAUAUAGCCUCUUUUAUAAAAAAUCAACAUAAUUAUUUGCAUGUGCCCCAACAUAAAGGAGCUAUGUGGAAACAAAUAAAACAAAUGACACAAAGAUCUAGAAGAGGCUUAGGUCUAAACAUUUAGAACGAAGAAUGAAAAUUCCAGUUCCACUCUUUUAGAAGAACUUGCAUCUAAAGCAAUUUCUUCUUCUCAAGUAGAGUACGGAGUUUCUUUUUCUAAAGUAGAACCAUAAUUUUAUCUAAAUUAUCUUGAAAUUGUCCAUAAAUUUUUUGUAGAGUAAGAAGGACAAGAAAAAAAUCAAGUGGAUAGUGAUAGAAAAGAUAAAAAUGAACUUGAUUAUGAUGAAGAAAGUGAAGAAGAAACGUAUGAAGAAUAAAAAUAAAAGUUCAGAAACAAAAAAGAGAAAAAAAAAUUGAGGAAGAAUAAGGAAAAAAAGUGUUGAGGAAAAAAGAAAGAAAGAAGAAGUUGAGGAUGAGGAGAUCAAAAUAUUCGAUGUACACACAUUCCCUUAGCAUAUCAAACCUAAUUCUAUUGUUGAUAGCAUCAUAAGGUAAGUCAUUGUAAAAUCUCAACUCAUUUGGGACCAUACUCCAAAAAAAUGAUAUAGAAGAAUUUUUUAAGGAAUAGUUAUUUUUGUCAAUAUUCUAAUUUGCAAUUACUAAUAAUGCACCUUUUCAAAUGAAUAUUGUCUAUGAUUUUCUGAAGAGAAGAUUUAUUUCUUAGAAUGAUGAGGAGUAGAUUAAUUAUUAUGGAAAGCCACUCUUCUUUGGCAAAAAAAGAGUUUUUCAUAUUUACA